AGUGAACGCUGGCGGUAGGCCUAACACAUGCAAGUCGAACGGCAGCACAGUAAGAGCUUGCUCUUACGGGUGGCGAGUGGCGGACGGGUGAGGAAUACAUCGGAAUCUACUUUUUCGUGGGGGAUAACGUAGGGAAACUUACGCUAAUACCGCAUACGACCUACGGGUGAAAGCAGGGGAUCUUCGGACCUUGCGCGAUUGAAUGGGCCGAUGUCGGAUUAGCUAGUUGGCGGGGUAAAGGCCCACCAAGGCGACGAUCCGUAGCUGGUCUGAGAGGAUGAUCAGCCACACUGGAACUGAGACACGGUCCAGACUCCUACGGGAGACAGCAGUGGGGAAUAUUGGACAAUGGGCGCAAGCCUGAUCCAGCCAUACCGCGUGGGUGAAGAAGGCCUUCGGGUUGUAAAGCCCUUUUGUUGGGAAAGAAAAGCAGCAGGUUAAUACCCCGCUGUUCUGACGGUACCCAAAGAAUAAGCACCGGCUAACUUCGUG
rnacentral:rRNA from 1 species